rnacentral:lncRNA from 1 species
GUGGGUUCCCUUAAGGCUCCGGCUCUGGGGGCAGCGCCCCCUGGGAGCGUCCAUUUUUAAGCCUGUGAAGAAAGGGCUGCUGACGUUUGGGGCCCCCGCUAUGAGCAUAGCCUCCACUCCUCCCCAAUCCCUGUCCGUGCCUCUACAUACCUCUGUGGCAUUUGCAAACCCUUUUCUUAGCAGGUGCUCCCAUCUGUGUUUGCCCUUCUCUCCUCCCGUUUCCAUGGAGAGGCUGGCACCAGGACGCGUGACUGACAGUGCUGUCUCCCCCAGCAGUCCCCUCUGAGUCUGUCGGGUGUGGGCUCCGGGCUCCACCCUGCUUCUUCCUUAGCCCGCUCUCUGCCCCUCCCACUGCCCAGGCUGCCGGGGCUUCCAGCUCCCGUGGUGCAAACGUGGCCUUUGCUGGCGGCAGGAUGCGGUUGCGUCAGGAGUAAGCAGAGCUUUUGUGACCAAAAUCAACCCCGGGGCAUCUCAGGCUCUAGCGCUGGUGGGCGUGUGAGAUCAUUUCAGCCCAACCCACAUCCCAGGCUUGAAUCCCAUUACCAGGGGCAACCGAUCCUUCUUGUCCUUUCCCAGAUUGGUGAUGGAUGUCCACUGUGUCUCCAUGCAGCUGGCCACUCUGUGGACAGCUGUUUGUGACUCAGCUCCUCCCAGCCUGAGGGCAUCUGGGCCCUGCAACUCCAUCCUUUGCUCCCCUUUCUUCCCGCGGGGACCCUUUCAUCUCCCUGGCAGGACCCUGUCUCCACCCGAGGGCACGUUCUCUGACCUCUUCUGCGGAGUACCCUGGCUUGAUGACGCUUCCUGUUCCUUCCCAGGGUUGUGCUGGGGGCAUCAGUCUUUGAACAGUCCCUCCCUGAGGGCUGCCGUGUCCCCUCAGUGCCCAGGCACAUCAAGCACUGCUACAAACCCAGACAUUCACAGGGACCCCUCCACCUGAAGUCCACCAUAAGGUAGAAGCUUCCGGAAGGGGUGAUGCAAAGGGGUCAAACAUUUAGACUACGCCUCAGAGCUGCAUGAUUCCUUCCUCUAACUGUGAAGCAAAUACAGCGAUUUCUCUGGGUCUGCCAUCGAGGCCUUCUUCCCUCUGCUCUCACCUCAGGUGCCUUCCUAAUGUGCAGGUGACGAUUGCCUCUGAGCUCAGGCAUGCAGCUUCUGGGAUGCACUCUCCUUUCACGGCAAAGCAUUCUGCAUAGGAAAAACCGUCUCUGCGUCUCCAAGCUGUGGCCUAGCCCUUCAUUCAUCAAAUGGGAUACAACUUUCAUUUCUUAUUAAAAUCUGGAAGUCACUCUCCAUUUGUAAGAUAUCCCAGGGGUUGAUGUCAUCUUGUAAAGGGGGACAGUGCCAUUUUCUAUCUUACACUUUAAAAAGACAAAACCACUAGCUACAAACAUCAUUCACCACAGCAUGGGAGAGGCAACCCCACAGCAAAGGUUAUGUCAUGUUUCAUAAAUGGGUAUGGAUUUGGGGGCUGGUUUUUUUAAUAAAAACAUAUUUUGGUACUUUGGAACUUGACAUAAUUUGAGCUGUUUAUGUUGUAGAUGUUAUGAAUAGAUGUUAUGGUAUUAAUUAAUAGUGUGUAUUUUCUAUGUCUGGGCUUGCCUGGACCGCUGGUCCUUGCCUUUCUUUCUGACACAGAAUUUCCAGGGCCUCAACCUGCUUCUGUCUGGAAGUGACAGCCCACUCCACAGGGGUCUUCAGAUAGGGGUAGAAGGUGGUGCCCUGGGCUCUCCUGGCUCUAGAGAAUCUGGCUCUAGAAUCACGAAGCCUUCCAGCAUCCCCAGCUUCCCCCUUGCAGUAAUCCCAUAAGGGAAGCGUUGUCCCAUUUUACAGAGAGUCCGUGGGGCUGAGAGGUGUCAUGAAUUAUUCUAAUGGUAGUAACUCUAUUGGAGAGGCUGAAACCCGGGGCUCGUGGAUGUUGUGACCCACCCCCCACCAGAACCUCCCAUCCUGACUCACUGAAUAUUUAGUACCAUCGUCCCCUGGAGGAUGGUCUAGUUGGCAAGUAGCUGAGGAUUUUUAAUUCUAAUUUAGUUUAAACAUGGCUGUUUGUUGCUGUUGCUCUCUAAAGGGCCUUAUUAAAGACUCUUGCUGCAGUGAAGGUGGCCUGUCUAGGAAUCGAUAUGGAUGUUGAGAUCUGAGACUCUACAACACCCCCAAUCUCAGUCCUUCUCGCUCCAUAGGCAGUUCCAUUCCCUGCAGAUCUAACUCUGAGAUUCUCACUCCUGAAAAUGCCUGGACAAUAAAUAAAUCCAAGGUGAAGGUGUUGAUGCCAGUGACCUAGCUGCAUCAUUUUAUUCAUGGCAUCAAGCCUUCAAGAAUGUGGCUUAACUUGUAUUUAUUCACAUGAUAAUGGCUUUUUAUAAAUCUGCAUCUCUUCCUCCCCUAGGAAGAAAAAAAGGGCAUCUCUUCAUGAGUCACUUGAUUAAAAUUCCUCUCCAGUACUCUGUACCAUCCACUCAUACUGGAAUUGUUGAAAAUCAGGUGAUUUGCAACUCCACACUUGCCCAAAUUAAACCAUGAGUGGAAUUGACAAUAUGAAUCCUGAAUUUUCUGAGCUGGAAGGAGGUUCUAGUGAUUACCCACACCAGGGAUGGCAUUUUACACAUGAAGAAACAGAGGCCCCAGGGUUGUUUCUGAUCCAGAUUUGGAGUGUGUAAAUUGAUAAAAUUAGUAUCAAUGCUAUUGUAACUACCUGGAAUUGGUUAAAUAGCAGCAGUGCCAGUCACCUUUCUUAGAGUAGAGAUUGCCAGCAGGCAAUAUCUUCAUCCUCAG